GCCACCUCACAGAGGCUGGAUUCCUACUCCAUGUCCCACCCAGCUCAGAGGUUGGAUUCCCUGCUCCAUGUCCCACAUAUCUCACACAGGCUGGACUCCCAGGAGCAGUUGCUCCAGUAAGUUUUUGGGCUGAGGGAGCAGAGCGGACAAGCCGGAGCCCUCGCCGCGUCCCUGGGGAGGUCCGUGCAGGACAAGUGGAUCACGGGGAUAAGAGAAAAGAGGGACUUGGAAGAGGCGACAGGAAUCGAGGGCUUGUGCCAGCUUAUCCCCAAAUCAUAAACCAGGGAAAGACAAGGAAUGUGUGUAAAUAAAAGGAGUCAGGAGAGACCAUAAACCCACGUGUUGGUUUGGGAGAGAGGAGACACUGCAGCUGCCCUGGAGCAUCUCCACGGGAUGAACUACAGGAAUGGGAGGGA